rnacentral:tRNA from 1 species
GCCAAUGUGAUGUAGUGGUUUGAGUAUUAGACUAUGACUCUGGAGACCAGGGUUCAAAUCCCAGUUUGGCU